rnacentral:rRNA from 1 species
UACGUAGGGCGCAAGCGUUGUCCGGAAUUAUUGGGCGUAAAGAGCGUGUAGGCGGCUUUGCAAGUCCGUUGUGAAAACUCGAGCUCAACCUCGAGACGCCGGUGGAAACUGCAAAGCUAGAGUCCGGAAGAGGAGAGUGGAAUUCCUGGUGUAGCGGUGAAAUGCGCAGAUAUCAGGAAGAACACCCGUGGCGAGGGCGGCUCUCUGGGACGGUACUGACGCUGAGACGCGAAAGCGUGGGGAGCGAACAGG